rnacentral:rRNA from 1 species
UACGUAGGGAGCGAGCGUUGUCCGGAAUUAUUGGGCGUAAAGAGCUCGUAGGCGGUCUGUUGCGUCCGCUGUGAAAACUCGGGGCUUAACCCCGAGCCUGCAGUGGAUACGGGCAGACUAGAGGUAGGUAGGGGAGAAUGGAAUUCCCGGUGUAGCGGUGAAAUGCGCAGAUAUCAGGAGGAACACCGAUGGCGAAGGCAGGUCUCUGGGCAUUAACUGACGCUGAGGAGCGAAAGCAUGGGGAGCGAACAGG